rnacentral:rRNA from 1 species
CGCAUACGAUCUACGGAUGAAAGCGGGGGAUCGCAAGACCUCGCGCGGACGGAGCGGCCGAUGGCAGAUUAGGUAGUUGGUGGGAUAAAAGCUUACCAAGCCGACGAUCUGUAGCUGGUCUGAGAGGACGACCAGCCACACUGGGACUGAGACACGGCCCAGACUCCUACGGGAGGCAGCAGUGGGGAAUUUUGGACAAUGGGCGAAAGCCUGAUCCAGCCAUGCCGCGUGCAGGAUGAAGGCCUUCGGGUUGUAAACUGCUUUUGUACGGAACGAAAAAGUCUUCUCUAAUACAGGGGGCGAAUGACGGUACCGUAAGAAUAAGCACCGGCUAACUACGUGCCAGCAGCCGCGGUAAUACGUAGGGUGCGAGCGUUAAUCGGAAUUACUGGGCGUAAAGCGUGCG